rnacentral:siRNA from 1 species
UAGAGGGACUAUGGCCGUUUA